rnacentral:misc_RNA from 1 species
UCCGGUUUGUCACCGGCGGUCUCCUUAGAGUUCCCACCAUUACGUGCUGGCAACUAAGGACAAGGGUUGCGCUCGUUGCGGGACUUAACCCAACAUCUCACGACACGAGCUGACGACAGCCAUGCAGCACCUGUGUUCGAGUUCCCGAAGGCACCAAUCCAUCUCUGGAAAGUUCUCGACAUGUCAAGGCCAGGUAAGGUGGGGAUGACGUAGCUAAGCCUUC